GAUAGGUAAGGUUUAUACAGUGUAUAAGUUUUACCGGGAAUAGAUAGGUAAGGUUUAUACAGUGUAUAAGUUUUACCGGGAAUAGAUAGAGAUAAGGUUUGUGGGAGAAAAAUGAGCCAAGCCCCAUCAGCGGGGGCUGUCUAUCCCACAAGCGAUUUCUUGGAGGCCGGGCUUGGUGGUUUCUGUGUUGGUUGAAUCCGAAUUGUUUUUCAUGAAUA